GACGAACGCUGGCGGCGUGCUUAACACAUGCAAGUCGAACGGAAAGGCCCUGCUUUUGUGGGGUGCUCGAGUGGCGAACGGGUGAGUAACACGUGAGUAACCUGCCCGUGACUUUGGGAUAACUUCAGGAAACUGGGGCUAAUACCGGAUAGGAGCUCCUGCUGCAUGGUGGGGGUUGGAAAGUUUCGGCGGUUGGGGAUGGACUCGCGGCUGAUCAGCUUGUUGGUGGGGGAGUGGCUUACCAAGGCUUUGACGGGUAGCCGGCCUGAGAGGGUGACCGGCCACAUUGGGACUGAGAUACGGCCCAGACUCCUACGGGAGGCAGCAGUGGGGAAUAUUGCACAAUGGGCGGAAGCCUGAUGCAGCAACGCCGCGUGCGGGAUGACGGCCUUCGGGUUGUAAACCGCUUUCGCCUGUGACGAAGCGUGAGUGACGGUAAUGGGUAAAGAAGCACCGGCUAACUACGUG
rnacentral:rRNA from 1 species